UUUUUUUAUCUAUCAUAAUUAAAUUGUUAAUUCGUCAUCGUCAUCAUCACCUUAGCUCUUCAAUUUCCGACGAAAUGGAGCUGAAACCAGGUCUCUCAGCUCUCGUCACCGGCGGAGCUUCUGGAAUUGGAUGUCACGAUGAAGAUUAUGACAUUCUCUCAACAAGGAUCUCAUGCUAUUUGCAUACUUUCUGCAAAUGGUACCAUAUCAAAUGUCACACUUCGACAGCCCAGUACUUCUGGAGGUACUUUUAACAUACGAGGGCCGAUUUGAGAUACUUUCAUUGUCUGGAUCAUAUAUGCCAACUGAGAAUGAAGGAACAAAGAGCAGGUCAGGUGGCAUGAGCGUCUCUUUGGCAGGUUCAGAUGGUAGAGUUGUUAGACUGGCUGGUCUAUUGAUAGCUGCAGGACCUGUGUAGCUAACAUGGUUUCUUAGGAAGAAAAAACAAAAGAAGAUAGUCAUUAUAUUAUUCUAAUGAUUAGUUCGAAGGAGUAGAAUGUCACCUUCCUUUCCCUUUGACAUCUCUCUGUAACAGUUUAG